CACCUACAUAAAUUGCUCCCCAAAAGUUCUCUAGAUAAAUUCAACUAGGUCACUAGAAGUUUGAUUCAUCUCCGAGUCUAAGUCAGGUCCCUACAAAGUAUGGAGCAGAAGAGAGACUCUCUCCCCCUCUUCCUCACGGACAUAUAACAUAUUGAUACAUAGAUUUUGAAUCUCUUUUUCUUUUUCUUUUUGCCUUCUUUCACUCAAAAUCUCCUCUUUUUGAUAUAGGCAUCGAAAGGUCUCCCAGCAAACAGACUUCCUCUAUAUGUUUGAUAUUUUAAGAUGCUCUGAGAUGUUGGAGUGAAGAUCCGAUCACCAUCAACUGCAUUGAGGUCUCUUGUUAGCUACUUAAGUCUCUAAAUCGUCCCUUCAUACUCUCCCACUCAAUGUCUAGUUUAUCGAC
rnacentral:lncRNA from 1 species